UGCUAUACAUGCAAGUCGAGCGGACCGACGGGAGCUUGCUCCCUUAGGUCAGCGGCGGACGGGUGAGUAACACGUGGGUAACCUGCCUGUAAGACUGGGAUAACUCCGGGAAACCGGGGCUAAUACCGGAUGCUUGAUUGAACCGCAUGGUUCAAUCAUAAAAGGUGGCUUUUAGCUACCACUUGCAGAUGGACCCGCGGCGCAUUAGCUAGUUGGUGAGGUAACGGCUCACCAAGGCGACGAUGCGUAGCCGACCUGAGAGGGUGAUCGGCCACACUGGGACUGAGACACGGCCCAGACUCCUACGGGAGGCAGCAGUAGGGAAUCUUCCGCAAUGGACGAAAGUCUGACGGAGCAACGCCGCGUGAGUGAUGAAGGUUUUCGGAUCGUAAAACUCUGUUGUUAGGGAAGAACAAGUACCGUUCGAAUAGGGCGGCACCUUGACGGUACCUAACCAGAAAGCCACGGCUAACUACGUGCCAGCAGCCGCGGUAAUACGUAGGUGGCAAGCGUUGUCCGGAAUUAUUGGGCGUAAAGCGCGCGCAGGCGGUUUCUUAAGUCCUGAUGUGAAAGCCCCCGGCUCAACCGGGGAGGGUCAUUGGAAACUGGGGAACUUGAGUGCAGAAGAAGAGAGUGGAAUUCCACGUGUAGCGGUGAAAUGCGUAGAGAUGUGGAGGAACACCAGUGGCGAAGGCGACUCUCUGGUCUGUAACUGACGCUGAG
rnacentral:rRNA from 1 species